AAAAAAGCAUUCCGUCGAACCGGAUUCGAACCAGUGACCUAAGGAUACCUGCUAACUCUACAGUCCUCCGCUCUACCAACUGAGCUAUCGACGGCACGGC
ensembl:ncRNA Y43F4A.6 ncRNA